UGCACUCAGGGAUAGAAUAGCGG
rnacentral:miRNA from 1 species